AGAGUUUGAUCAUGGCUCAGGACGAACGCUGGCGGCGUGCCUUAAUACAUGCAAGUCGAGCGAGCUUGCCUAGAUGAUUUUGGUGCUUGCACUAAAUGAAACUAGAUACAAGCGAGCGGCGGACGGGUGAGUAACACGUGGGUAACCUGCCCAAGAGACUGGGAUAACACCUGGAAACAGAUGCUAAUACCGGAUAACAACACUAGACGCAUGUCUAGAGUUUGAAAGAUGGUUCUGCUAUCACUCUUGGAUGGACCUGCGGUGCAUUAGCUAGUUGGUAAGGUAACGGCUUACCAAGGCAAUGAUGCAUAGCCGAGUUGAGAGACUGAUCGGCCACAUUGGGACUGAGACACGGCCCAAACUCCUACGGGAGGCAGCAGUAGGGAAUCUUCCACAAUGGACGAAAGUCUGAUGGAGCAACGCCGCGUGAGUGAAGAAGGGUUUCGGCUCGUAAAGCUCUGUUGGUAGUGAAGAAAGAUAGAGGUAGUAACUGGCCUUUAUUUGACGGUAAUUACUUAGAAAGUCACGGCUAACUACGUGCCAGCAGCCGCGGUAAUACGUAGGUGGCAAGCGUUGUCCGGAUUUAUUGGGCGUAAAGCGAGUGCAGGCGGUUCAAUAAGUCUGAUGUGAAAGCCUUCGGCUCAACCGGAGAAUUGCAUCAGAAACUGUUGAACUUGAGUGCAGAAGAGGAGAGUGGAACUCCAUGUGUAGCGGUGGAAUGCGUAGAUAUAUGGAAGAACACCAGUGGCGAAGGCGGCUCUCUGGUCUGCAACUGACGCUGAGGCUCGAAAGCAUGGGUAGCGAACAGGAUUAGAUACCCUGGUAGUCCAUGCCGUAAACGAUGAGUGCUAAGUGUUGGGAGGUUUCCGCCUCUCAGUGCUGCAGCUAACGCAUUAAGCACUCCGCCUGGGGAGUA
rnacentral:rRNA from 1 species